rfam:Medicago truncatula strain A17 chromosome 8, whole genome shotgun sequence.
NNCUUAACUAUUAAAAGUUUCGUUUUGGCCCUUAACUUAUUUUAUGGUUUCGUUUUGGUCCCUUAACUUAUUUUUUGGUUUCGUUUCGGUCCCUUAACUCUAAUACAUUCAUCCUAACAUAAAGACCAAAGUGGUUGACGGAGGAAGAGUUAAGGGACCAAAACGAAACCAAAAAAUAAGUUAAGGGACCAAAAGAAAACCCAAAAAUAAGUUAAGGGACCGAAACGAAACUUUUAAUAGUGAAGGGA